UGCCUGGGGCCAGGGUGGGCAGGGGUGAGGCUGGUCCCAGAGUCCCUGAGGUGCCCUGGGCACUUGGAGAGACACCACCCAUGCCAGGCAAGGUGGCCCCAUUCUUCCUCUGUACCUGUCACCCCAGCCUGGGCUCUCGUCACCACUCACUGCCCACCGCCCCCCACCGGAACCCCAGCCACGCCUGGGGACUGACCGCAUCAGAGUCCGCACAAUCCAGGGCGCGUGGCCCAGGGAGGGCACCGCUUCGUCCAUCAGGGGAUGGGUCUUGACGAAGUUGAGGAUCUCAUCGGGGAAGGCGCUGGAGGCAUUGUACUGCAUGCCGGGGGCCGCACAGCACCCGGGUCUAAGUGGGGAGGAAGUGGAGAUCAGGGCGGACUCGCCCAUCCCUACACAGGGGCUCUGACUUGCUGGGGGGACUGGCUGCCCUGCCCAAAGGGCCUCAGUUUUCUGCAUCUGGAUAAUGGGUACAGCCGAACUCAGCCACAUAGAACCACCUGGAAGUCCCAGCCCUUCACCCUAGGGUCAGGACCCCACCCAGGCACCUGGCUCAGGAUCAAGGGGGCUCUCACCGGGGCCGUGGCACCUGAUCCUCCGGCACGGGUGUCCAGAUGGACUCGGGGGACUUCUGCUCACGGAAGCGGCCUUCAAACACAGCGGCCACCUGAGUCAUGUCAAAGGCGCAGACAGCUGAGCCGGGGAUGCUGGGGAGUCAGGGCUCAGACUGGACCACAGCCUGGCCUUUCCACAGCCACCCGUGUCCCUCCAUGGCCGCCCAUCACCACUUGCCUGGACGUCCAGUCUCCCAGAGGCCACUCUUGCCCCCUUGCAACCCAUGCCCCAGGGGGCUUUUCAAAAAUGCACGUCUGACCUUGUCUCUCUUCUGCUCCUCACUCUUCCAUGGCUUCCUAGAGCUCUCAGGAUACAGUCCAGGCUCCUCUCGGUGGCUCGCCACCUCUCUGCCCUCUAUCCCCUAUGCUUCCCCGUCCCCCCUCCUCUCCAGCCAUGGGGCCUCCAUCCUAUUGUUUAAACACACCAAAGUCACUGCAGCCUCAGGACCUUUGCACAUGCUACUCCUACAACUUGGAAUGUGCUUCCCUCUCCUGCCAUCUCACACCGUUGGUGGCUCGUUCUAAUACUCCCUCCUCCAGGAAGCCCUCCCUGACCCCCUCCUCUAAAGGCAGAGGAUGAGGACAUCCCCCAUCUGGACUCUUCUGACCAAGGGGCCACGGAGGGUCAGUAGCUGGCUCUGUCCCACCCCAGCCUGGGGCUGACGCUGCUCGGGAGUCCCAAUCUGGCCCAGCCCAGGACCCAGGGAAUGUAUGACGAAUGCGGGAGCUCUCCGCUCCUGUCUCCACAGUGCCCCAGUCUGCUCCCCUCGGGAUCCUCUGACCU